ACUCCUACGGGAGGCAGCAGUGGGGAAUUUUGGACAAUGGGCGAAAGCCUGAUCCAGCCAUGCCGCGUGCAGGAUGAAGGCCUUCGGGUUGUAAACUGCUUUUGUACGGAACGAAACGGCCUUUUCUAAUAAAGAGGGCUAAUGACGGUACCGUAAGAAUAAGCACCGGCUAACUACGUGCCAGCAGCCGCGGUAAUACGUAGGGUGCAAGCGUUAAUCGGAAUUACUGGGCGUAAAGCGUGCGCAGGCGGUUAUGUAAGACAGUUGUGAAAUCCCCGGGCUCAACCUGGGAACUGCAUCUGUGACUGCAUAGCUAGAGUACGGUAGAGGGGGAUGGAAUUCCGCGUGUAGCAGUGAAAUGCGUAGAUAUGCGGAGGAACACCGAUGGCGAAGGCAAUCCCCUGGACCUGUACUGACGCUCAUGCACGAAAGCGUGGGGAGCAAACAGGAUUAGAAACCCCUGGUAGUCCCA
rnacentral:rRNA from 1 species